GGGAAACUGGGUAUAAUACCCGAUAGGUCUCGAUUGCUGGAAUGCAUCGAGAUUUAAAGCUCCGGCGCCUAAGGAUGGGUCUGCGGCCUAUCAGGUAGUAGUGGGUGUAGCGUACCUACUAGCCUACGACGGGUACGGGUUGUGAGAGCAAGAGCCCGGAGAUGGAUUCUGAGACACGAAUCCAGGCCCUACGGGGUGCAGCAGGCGCGAAAACUUUACAAUGCUGGCAACAGCGAUAAGGGAACCUCGAGUGCCAGGUUACAAAUCUGGCUGUCGAGAUGCCUAAAAAGCAUUUCAUAGCAAGGGCCGGGCAAGACCGGUGCCAGCCGCCGCGGUAACACCGGCGGCUCGAGUGGUAACCGUUAUUAUUGGGUCUAAAGGGUCUGAGCCGGCGGAUAAGUCUCUUGAGAAAUCUGCAGCUUACUGUCAGGCUUCGGAGAUACUGUCUGGCAGGCCGGGAGAGGUAGAGGACUUCAGGGGUAGGGAAAUCUGUAUCCUUGAAGGACACAGUGGCGAAGGCGUCUCACCAGAACGGACGCAGGAAGAAAGCAAGGCUAGGGGCACAGACCCGGUUACAUACCCGGGUAGUCCUAGCCGUAAACGAUACUCGCUAGGUGUCGGCCACGGUGCGACCGUUGUCGGUGCCGUAGGGAAGCCGUGAAGCGAGCCACCUGGGAAGUACGGCCGCAAGGCUGAAACUUAAAGGAAUUGGCGGGGG
rnacentral:rRNA from 1 species